UCCUCCCUUCCUCCUCCUGGCCCCCAACUUGUUUCUUCUUUCUUAUGUGCCAGUUGCUGUGCUGAGGAUAUGAAGCUAAAUAAGCCUCUCUCCUUUUCUUCAUGAAGCUCAAAAGCUUAGAUAGGAAGCAAAUAAAUAUAAUAUAGCAUGAUAAUUGCAAGAAUAUUGACAUGUCCAAAAGUUAAAGAGAGAAAGCAUAAAGAAGAAAGUGAUGAGCUCUGAGGGGUUGAGGCUUUUGCUGUCUCUUAAAUUGAUUGCUAUUUAGCACCCAUCAAAAGCUCUGCAGAGGGGACCAUCAUUAACGGCAUUUACGAAGACAUCCACUUAUUCCAACAGCAGGAGGAAGACCAAUACUUCUUAUCAUAAACACAAGUUCCUGCUAUACACAACACAUCUCUUGAAUUCUAGGGAAGCCAAGAUGUACAUGAAAUGACUGCAGGCCUUGAAGGUCUUGAACCUAAUUGUGGCGCUGGGGCAUAUGUAGAGAUAAAUAUCACGUAGCAUAUGAUAAGGUGAUUUUGAAGAUCCAUUCUAUCUUAAGACACUGUAAGUCUAAUUAUUAAAUGAGCAAUACAGACAUUUAGUCAAAGUGUGUUCUGUUUUGAGGGAGCUG
rnacentral:lncRNA from 1 species